rnacentral:rRNA from 1 species
CACGUAGGGGGCGAGCGUUGUCCGGAUUUAUUGGGCGUAAAGAGCUCGUAGGUGGUUUGUCGCGUUGUUCGUGAAAACUCACAACUCAAUUGUGGGCGUGCGGGCGAUACGGGCAGACUGGAGUACUGCAGGGGAGACUGGAAUUCCUGGUGUAGCGGUGGAAUGCGCAGAUAUCAGGAAGAACACCAACGGCGAAGGCAGCUCGCUGGGACGGAACUGACGCUGAGGCGCGAAAGCGUGGGGAGCGAACAGG